CUACGGGUUGCUGCAGUGGGGAAUAUUGGACAAUGGGGGAAACCCUGAUCCAGCAAUGCCGCGUGUGUGAAGAAGGCCUGCGGGUUGUAAAGCACUUUCGGAUGGGAGGACUGCUUCUAGCACUAAUAUUGUUGGAAGUUGACGUUACCUUCAGAAGAAGCACCGGCUAACUCCGUGCCAGCAGCCGCGGUAAUACGGAGGGUGCAAGCGUUAAUCGGAAUUACUGGGCGUAAAGCGCGCGUAGGCGGCUAGAUCAGUCGGGUGUGAAAGCCCCGGGCUUAACCUGGGAACUGCAUCCGAUACUGUCUAGCUUGAGUACAGGAGAGGAGAGUGGAAUUCCACAUGUAGCGGUGAAAUGCGUAGAUAUGUGGAGGAACACCAAUGGCGAAGGCAGCUCUCUGGCCUGAUACUGACGCCGAGGUGCGAAAGCGUGGGGAGCAAACAGGAUUAGAUACCCCAGUAGUC
rnacentral:rRNA from 1 species